rnacentral:rRNA from 1 species
CCAGACUCCUACGGGAGGCAGCAGUGAGGAAUAUUGGUCAAUGGGCACGAGCCUGAACCAGCCAAGUCGCGUGAGGGAUGACGGCCCUACGGGUUGUAAACCUCUUUUGCCGGGGAGCAACGGGCGCCACGUGUGGCGCCACUGAGAGUACCCGGAGAAAAAGCAUCGGCUAACUCCGUGCCAGCAGCCGCGGUAAUACGGAGGAUGCGAGCGUUAUCCGGAUUUAUUGGGUUUAAAGGGUGCGUAGGCGGUUCGUUAAGUCGGUGGUCAAUUGGGGGGCCACACCCCCUCCCCGCCAUUGAAACUGGCGCUCUUGAGUGGAAGAGAAGUAUGCGGAAUGCGUGGUGUAGCGGUGAAAUGCAUAGAUAUCACGCAGAACCCCGAUUGCGAAGGCAGCAUGCCGGCUUCCGACUGACGCUGAAGCACGAAAGCGUGGGGAUCGAACAGGAUUAGAUACCCUGGUAC